UGGGGAAUAUUGCACAAUGGGCGCAAGCCUGAUGCAGCCAUGCCGCGUGUGUGAAGAAGGCCUUCGGGUUGUAAGCAACUUUCUAGCGAGGAGGAAGGAUGGUGAGCUUAAUACGCUCAUCAAUUGACGUUACUCGCAGAAGAAGCACCGGCUAACUCCGCGCCAGCAGCCGCGGUAAUACGGAGGGUGCAAGCGUUAAUCGGAAUUACUGGGCGUAAAGCGCACGCAGGCGGUUUGUUAAGUCAGAUGUGAAAUCCCCGGGCUCAACCUGGGAACUGCAUUUGAAACUGGCAAGCUAGAGUCUCGUAGAGGGGGGUAGAAUUCCAGGUGUAGCGGUGAAAUGCGUAGAGAUCUGGAGGAAUACCGGUGGCGAAGGCGGCCCCCCUGGACGAAGACUGACGCUCAGGUGCGAAAGCGUGGGGCAGCAAACAGGAUUAGAUACCCUGGUAGUCCACGCUGUAAACGAUGUCGAUUUGGAGGUUGUGCCCUUGAGGCGUGGCUUCCGGAGCUAACGCGUUAAAUCGACCGCC
rnacentral:rRNA from 1 species